UGAGGGAGGAUGACUCUGCGGGUGCCCUGCCACGCUGGGCUUGGUGGGAUCAGUCCGCCUCGUGGACAUCCAGCACAGUCACCUCUGUCCUGGGGACUGACACCUCCUGAAUCUCUGCUGGAAAUGUGGACCCCGCACUAGAGGACUUGACUCUAUCCUAACUCCUCCAAACCUAACUGGGGUUUACGUAAGCCACCCCCGGCCCCAGCUGCCAACUCGGCCCUUCCUUUCCCUCCAUCUCCCCUCAGCCCAGGCUCCGGAACUGGGAAGCCGGGCAUCUCACUUUGCUACUGGUUUCCCUUAGGCCCGAGGUCUUUGGGACUCAGAGGCAAACAUCUGUCCGUUCGGUCAUGUCUCCCACCCACACGCCAUCCCCUCCGAGAGCGCCGCUCCGGAACAGGUGCACGUACAAGAGAAGGCAAAUCUGGAGGCCUGGGCGGCAGCUCCCACUUGCCCUGCUGAAGCCAGACUAGAAGCUGCAGAUGAGGUACCGGGCCCACGCGCAUGCUGGGGAAGGCCCAACACAAAGCAGCAGCAGCAAGCAAGGAGCAGAGUCUUGCAGUGGGAGAGAAGGAAGCAGGACACCUGGGUGCUAAGCCCAGCUCUGCAACCCCGAGCACUCACAGCCCCAUGUGCAAGUGGAUGGACUAAAGCAGGGCAGUGGGGCCAGUGGCUGAUCAUUAGAAUCCCUCAUAGAAUAGCGACAGAAAAAGGUUCCUGGGCUAUCUAUCCACCUCAGACCUACUGAGUCAGAAUCUCCAGGGCUGGUGCCCAGGGAAUCUGUAUAUUUCAAAGCUUUCCGGAAGAUUCUUGAGGUCUGUCGGGACCAAGAAUCACUGGACACCAUAGAUAAAACCCAGACCCCUUUAAGCUUCAAUAAUCACCCUCUACUGCUUGUACACUUUAGUUAUUGCCAUUGGUAUAAGAGUCCAAAUGCCCCAUCAUAAGGAAAGAGCUCACGCCCCCUUAAAGCUGCGCUGAGAGGCUUCUCAGAAACUUGGGGACUUCUUUAGAGCUCAUAUGGUCUCUAGAGCUAUUCUGUCGGCAUUCUGAGCUGGCCAACUUCAAGAAACCGCCCCACGCAUUGUAAGAUACGUAGCACACCUGGCUUUUAUUUGCUAAAUGCAGUAAAAUCUUGGUUUGCGAGCAUAA